AUGGCGCCGCCGAAGCCGAGCUCUCCUCCCAACCCCAACCCCAACGCCAGCCCCAACUCCUCCUCCGACGCCGACAAGGCCAGGGGCAAGACGAAGGUGACGCCCCUGCAGGUCGCCUUCCUCGUCGAGCGCUACCUCGCCGACAAUGGCUUCUCGGCCUCCCUCGCCGCCUUCCGCUCCGACGCCUCCCACCUCUUCGCCAAGACCAGCAACAACAUAGUCCCUCCCAAGGGCCUCCUCCCUCUCGCCGACAUCCUCCACGACUACAUCUCCCUCAAGGAGUCACGCCUCGCCGUCGACUCCGCCAUGCAGGCCAUGCAGACCCUCGUCUCCACCUACUACCAUUCCGGCUCAUCCGCUCAUCUCGCGGCGCCGCCCUCCUCGCCGCCGCUCGUCCCGCCCUUCUUCGUCGGCCCCACCACCUCUUCUCCCCCGCACCCACCCAUGGUGGCCAUUCCCCCGCCUCCUACAGGCUCCUCUGGAUAUGCUACGCCUAUGAUACACUACACACAGUCAUCCUCCUCGCUUGUUGUUCAGAAUUCUUCAAAUGCCAACAACAUGUCCACCCCAGCAGCCAGUUCUUUGCCUACAAAAAAAAGAAAGGCAGCCAAGCCUGCUGCAAAAACUACUUCAGCCUCCAAGAGAAUAUGUGCUGGACCGUCCACAAGCUUGAACCCAAAAAGUACAAGUGCAGCCUCUCAACUGCAAACUGCACAGCCAAGUUCAGCUGAACAUUCAGUGGUUGCAAAACUGCCGGCCCAAGCCUCAUCCGUUGCAAAAAGCUUAUUCACCCCACUCCAGUCUCAAGUCAGUUCUCCUUGUACAGCUCAACUAAGCUAUCCCAUGGGAAAUGAACUUGCUUCUUGUCAAUCACAAAGGCCAUCAUCUGUGGUUCCAAAUGCUCAUGCCCAACAGGAGAUUGCUUCCUCUCAAUACUCUAUAGUUUCUUCCAAGAGACUAAUAGUCAGUCCUAUGAAAGGGGGCACCUAUUAUUCUGUCGAGAGGAGUUGCCAUGUCAGCUCCCCCUUAAAAUCAAGCACCCAGAGAUCUUCAAAAAGGGAACAUGUGAAAGGGAGGUUAGAUUUUGACAGUUCAGAUGCAAGGCCAGUUCCAGCUGAACAUGUUUCUGACAAGCCCUCUAGCUCUACCUAUAAUGGAGAGAAGCAAGAUGACUUUGACAUUGAUUUCACAAACUUUGAUCUCUUUGAAGGCGACUUCUCAUUUUCGGAACUAUUGCUUGACUUUGAUCUUGACAAUGAAGGCCUUCAAUGUGAGAAUCCUUCCACAAAUGCUGAAGUUCAAAGACUACAGCCCACUGUGAAGAGUAACAACAUGACUGCUGAUCCAGCUUUUCCAGAUCCAAUGAAGCCAAUGUCAGCAGAUCCCACUGAAGACAUCAAUUCACAAGGAGCUACAUCUGUUACUUCUGUCAGAGCUAUUACUAAGAGGAUAAAGAUUGUUAGCCCUGGUAUGCCUAUAACCUCUACCUAUCAUGCUUCUCAUGUACAACAGGUUUUAAAGUUAUCUAAUAUGCUAGCUGUAUUUGUUUGCAGUUAA
rnacentral:rRNA from 1 species